GGAAUCAGGGUUCGAUUCCGGAGAGGGAGCCUGAGAAAUGGCUACCACAUCCAAGGAUGGCAGCAGGCGCGCAAAUUACCCACUCCCAGCUUGGGGAGGUAGUGACGAAAAAUAACAAUGCGGGACUCUAAGAGGCCCCGUAAUUGGAAUGAGUACACCUUAAAUCGUUUAACGAGUAUCAAUUGGAGGGCAAGUCUGGUGCCAGCAGCCGCGGUAAUUCCAGCUCCAAUAGCGUAUAUUAAAGUUGCUGCAGUUAAAAAGCUCGUAGUUGGAUCUGGGGCUUGAGGUCGCUGUCUAUCGUUUCGGCGAUGACGGUGAUGCUCAGCUCUGCUUGCCGGUGACUGUUGCGGUGUUCUUAAUUGAGCGCUGUAGCAGCACGGCACGUUUACUUUGAAAAAAUUAGAGUGCUCAAAGCGUGCUUGUCGCUUGAAUAAUGUUGCAUGGAAUAAUGGAAUAGGACCUCGGUUCUAUUUUGUUGGUUUUCGGAGCUUGAGGUAAUGAUUAAGAGGGACGAACGGGGGCAUUCGUAUUGCGGUGUUAGAGGUGAAAUUCUUGGAUCGCCGCAAGACGGACUACUGCGAAAGCAUUUGCCAAGAACGCUUUCAUUAAUUAAGAACGAAAGUCAGAGGUUCGAAGACGAUCAGACACCGUCCUAGUUCUGACCAUAAACGAUGCCGACCAGCGAUCCGUAGUGGUUGCUUUAUGGACCCUACGGGCAGCCUCCGGGAAACCAAAGUAUUUGGGUUCCGGGGGAAGUAUGGUUGCAAAGCUGAAACUUAAAGGAAUUGACGGAAGGGCACACAAGGAGUGGAGCCUGCGGCUUAAUUUGACCCAACACGGGAAAACUCACCCGGUCCGGACACCGUAAGGAUUGACAGACUGAUAGCUCUUUCUUGAUUCGGUGGAUGGUGGUGCAUGGCCGUUCUUAGUUGGUGGAGUGAUUUGUCUGGUUAAUUCCGAUAACGAACGAGACUCUAGCCUGCUAAGUAGUGUGUCUAUUGUGAUAUGGCAUACACUUCUUAGAGGGACAAGUGGCAUUUAGCCACGCGAAAUUGAGCAAUAACAGGUCUGUGAUGCCCUUAGAUGUCCGGGGCCGCACGCGCGCUACACUGGAGAAGUCAGCGUGUGUUAUCCGAGUCCGAAAGGAUUGGGUAAUCCGUUGAACCUUCUUCGUGCUUGGGACUGUGGCUUGGAACUAUUCCACAUGAACGAGGAAUUCCUAGUAAGUGCAAGUCAUUAGCUUGCGUUGAUUACGUCCCUGCCCUUUGUACACACCGCCCGUCGCUACUACCGAUUGAAUGGUUUAGCAAGGUCCUCGGAUCGUGGCCGUAGGGGCACGCAAGUGUUUCUGCGGUUUGCGAGAAGACGACCAAACUUGAUCAUUUAGAGGAAGUAAAAGUCGUAACAAGGUU
rnacentral:rRNA from 1 species